AUUGAACGCUGGCGGCAGGCCUAACACAUGCAAGUCGAACGAGUGGCGGACGGGUGAGUAAUGUCUGGGAAACUGCCUGAACGAGGGGGAUAACUACUGGAAACGGUAGCUAAUACCGCAUACCAUCGGAUGUGCCCAGAUGGGAUUAGCUAGUAGGUGGGGUAAAGGCACACCUAGGCGACGAUCCCUAGCCGGUCUGAGAGGAUUACCGGCCACACUGGGACUGUGACACGGUCCAGACUCCUACGGGAGGCAGCAGUGGGGAAUAUUGCACAAUGGGCGCAAGCCUGAUGCAGCCAUGCCGCGUGUAGGAAGAAGGCCUUCGGGUUGUAAAGUACUUUCAGCGGGGAGGCGUUACCCGCAGAAGAAGCACCGGCUAACUCCGUGCCAGCCGCCGCGGUAAUAC
rnacentral:rRNA from 1 species